ACAACUGUUCUCAUCUCUAUUUGAUUUUUUAAAAAAAUUAAAUUUAAAUUUAAAUUUUAAAAAUUUAUAAUUUGUAAUUUUAAAAUUAAAAUUUUGUAAUUUUAAAUUCUAAAUUUUAAUUUUUAAUUUUUAAUUUUUUAAAUUUUAAAUUUUGAUAUUUUAAAUUUUUAAAUUGAGAUUUAAUUUUCAACAUAAAAUUUAAAAUUUUGAAUUUUCGAAUUUGAGAUUUAAAAAUUUAAAUUUAAAUUUAAAUUUUUUGAAAUUUAAGAGUUACAUAUUUAGAUUUACAAAUAUAAAUAUAAAAUUUAAAAAUUUAAAUUUAAAUAUAAUAUAAAGGUAAUAUCAUUAUUUUCUAUUUAUAACUACCGAUUAUUCUUCUUAUUCCAUCUUAUCUAUUUAAACAUUAUUUUUCUUAUUUUUGAGAAAAUACUCAAUUUUUAUCCAAAUACAAAAUUAAUCUAUUUUAGACUUAUAUCUAAACAAAUAACCUACAUUUAUACAUAUUCCUAAAAUAGGAGUCCGGCUACUACCCUCUUAAGAGGAUAGGAACGUUUGUCCUAUCAAGUCAUUUUGGAUGAUUGGGACUUCAAAUUGAUAAUCGGCACCGUUGAAGAUGAUUAACACGAUUAGAAAUACUUAGAAACCGAAUUUUGUAAUUUUUAAAAAUCAUUAUCAAAUCCAUUGAAGAGUAAAAAAAUGAACAGUUAAAAAUAAAUGACCUUCUGAAAACAGAAGAUAGACUUUCUUAAUUUAUGAUCGGAGUUUUUAAACAUUAUCUAAAUAGUAUAAAGUAUUUUCUAUCAAAAAUUCAACUGGUUUGGAUUAUUCUCCACCAUUAAACAAGCAAACGGCUCAUAUAGACCAUCAAAAACUGUCAAUUUUGCAAUCUUUUGAUUACUAUAUAAAUAAAAUUUAAAAUUUAUAAAAUUUAGUUCAUAGAUAAUUCAAAUACUCGAGAUCAAUUUUAACUGUUCCGAUCACUGAUUCAGGAUCUCUAUCAUCAAAAACAAUUUGAAAGGACAAAGGUCCCUAUCCUCCUAAAAGGAUAGCAACUGGAUUUCCUAAACUAGAUAAUUUUUAUUUAGAGAUAAUUACCUAUAUACCCCUCAUACAUUUGAAAAUAUCCUAUUUACCCCUAAUUUUUUUUUCUUUCUAAAAUACUCCUCAUAUGUUCCACCGUUAUUGCAAAAUACUCCCGCAGUUAUCUCCUGUUAAGUUAACUUGAGUUAAACGUGAGUUAAAUAUCUAACACAAUUAAAAAAAAUUAAAAUGCCAAUUUUGCCCUUAACUUAAGGGCAAAUAAAAAAUGUUGGUGACUGACUGCAUAGAAAUAUAUUUGAGAAGACCAAAAGUCAAAAUACUUUUUGUAGCCCUGACUUUAAGAGCAAAUAAAAAAGUCGGUGAUGGGAGUUCAUUAACAGAUUUUAACUCUAGUGUAUAUUAGAAAUAUAUUGAAACGUAGAAAGGAUAUUUUUAAUAUUAACCUUCUAAGAGAGGUAAACCUUCUAAGAGAGGUAAAUCGGAAAGUUAAAAAUUUUUCACAAGUACAUAAGCAAUUGUCCCAUUUAUUUGUAUCCGAACCAAAUGAAGCCCGUGUAGUCCAGAUAAAG
rnacentral:lncRNA from 1 species